rnacentral:rRNA from 1 species
UACGUAGGUGGCAAGCGUUGUCCGGAAUUACUGGGCGUAAAGCGUGCGCAGGCGGUUUUGUAAGCCAGAUGUGAAAUCCCCGGGCUUAACCUGGGAAUGGCAUUUGGGACUGCAAGGCUCGAGUGCGGCAGAGGAGACUGGAAUUCCUGGUGUAGCAGUGAAAUGCGUAGAUAUCAGGAGGAACACCGAUGGCGAAGGCAGGUCUCUGGGCUGACACUGACGCUCAUGCACGAAAGCGUGGGGAGCAAACAGG